rnacentral:rRNA from 1 species
GACGAACGCUGGCGGCGUGCUUAACACAUGCAAGUCGAACGGAAAGGCCUGCUUUCCCUUGUGGAUUGCGGGUGCUCGAGUGGCGAACGGGUGAGUAACACGUGAGUGAUCUGCCCCCAACUUGGGUAUAAGCCUGGGAAACUGGGUCUAAUUCCCGAUAGGACUGCAGGGUGGUGCCUGUGGUGGAAAACGAUUUUCUAGUGGUUGGGGAUGAGCUCGCGGCCUAUCAGCUUGUUGGUGGGGUAAUGGCCUACCAAGGCGGCGACGGGUAGCCGGCCUGAGAGGGUGGACGGCCACAUUGGGACUGAGAUACGGCCCAGACUCCUACGGGAGGCAGCCGUGGGGAAUAUUGCACAAUGGGCGGAAGCCUGAUGCAGCGACGCCGCGUGGGGGAUGACGGCCUUCGGGUUGUAAACUCCUUUCGACCGCGAGGAAGCCACCUGGUUGGAAGGGUGGUGACGGUAGUGGUAGAAGAAGCACCGGCUAACUACGUG